rnacentral:tRNA from 1 species
GGAAGGUUGGCCGAGUGGUUGAAGGCAGCUGCGUGCUAAGCAGUACAGGACGGAUGUUCUGCGAGGGUUCGAAUCCUUCACCUUCCG